rnacentral:rRNA from 1 species
UAGCUAGUUGGUGAGGUAAUGGCCCACCAAGGCUGUGAUCGGUAGCUGGUCUGAGAGGAUGAUCAGCCACACUAGCACUGAAACACGGGCUAGACUCCUACGGGAGGCAGCAGUAAGGAAUAUUGCACAAUGGGCGAAAGCCUGAUGCAGCAACGCCGCGUGAGCGAUGAAGCCUCUAGGGGUGUAAAGCUCUUUUCUGUGGGACGAGGAAGGACGGUACCACAGGAAUAAGUCUCGGCUAACUACGUGCCAGCAGCCGCGGUAAUACGUAGGAGACAAGCGUUAUCCGGAUUUAUUGGGCGUAAAGAGCAUGUAGGCGGGCUCCCAAGUCGGACGUGAAAUCUCUCGGCUUAACUGAGAGGGGUCGUUCGAAACUAGGAGUCUUGAGGGCAGGAGAGGGGAGUAGAAUUCCCGGUGUAGUGGUGGAAUACGUAGAUAUUAGGAAGAACACCGGUGGCGAAAGCGUUCUGCUAGGCCGUAACUGACACUGAGGGACGAAAGCUAGGGGAGCGAAUGGGAUUAGAUACCCCAGUAGUCCUAGCUGUAAACGAUGGAUACUAGGCGUGGCUUGUAUCGACCCGAGCCGUGCCGUAGCUAACGCGUUAAGUAUCCCGCCUGGGGAGUACGCACGCAAGUGUGAAACUCAAAGGAAUUGACGGGGGCCCGCACAAGCGGUGGAGUAUGUGGUUUAAUUCGAUGCAACGCGAAGAACCUUACCAAGGCUUGACAUCCCGCGAAUCUUUCUGAAAGGAGAGAGUGCCUUCGGGAGCGCAGAGACAGGUGGUGCAUGGCCGUCGUCAGCUCGUGUCGUGAGAUGUUGGGUUAAGUCCCGCAACGAGCGCAACCCUCGUUUUUAGUUGCCAGCAUUAAGUUGGGCACUCUAGAGAGACUGCCGGUGACAAACCGGAGGAAGGUGAGGAUGACGUCAAGUCAGCAUGCCCCUUACGCCUUGGGCUACACACGUACUACAAUGCUACGGACAAAGGGCAGCUACACAGCGAUGUGAUGCAAAUCUCAUAAACCGUAGCUCAGUUCAGAUCGAAGGCUGCAACUCGCCUUCGUGAAGGAGGAAUCGCUAGUAAUUGCAGGUCAGCAUACUGCAGUGAAUUCGUUCCCGGGCCUUGUACACACCGCCCGUCACACCAUGGAAGUUGGUCACGCCCGAAGUCAUUACCCCAACCGAAAGGAGGGGGAUGCCGAAGGUAGGACUGGUGACUGGGGUGAAGUCGUAACAAGGUAGCCGUACCGGAAGGUGUGGCUG